UACGAAGGGGGGCUAGCGUUGUUCGGAUUUACUGGGCGUAAAGCGCACGUAGGCGGAUUGUUAAGUCAGGGGUGAAAUCCUGGAGCUCAACUCCAGAACUGCCUUUGAUACUGGCGAUCUCGAGUCCGGGAGAGGUGAGUGGAACUGCGAGUGUAGAGGUGAAAUUCGUAGAUAUUCGCAAGAACACCAGUGGCGAAGGCGGCUCACUGGCCCGGUACUGACGCUGAGGUGCGAAAGCGUGGGGAGCAAACAGG
rnacentral:rRNA from 1 species